CUGAUUAGCUAGUUGGUAAGGUAACGGCUUACCAAGGCGACGAUCAGUAGCCGACCUGAGAGGGUGAUCGGCCACAUUGGAACUGAGACACGGUCCAAACUCCUACGGGAGGCAGCAGUGGGGAAUAUUGCACAAUGGGCGAAAGCCUGAUGCAGCAACGCCGCGUGAGUGAUGAAGGCCUUCGGGUCGUAAAACUCUGUCCUCAAGGAAGAUAAUGACGGUACUUGAGGAGGAAGCCCCGGCUAACUACGUGCCAGCAGCCGCGGUAAUACGUAGGGGGCUAGCGUUAUCCGGAUUUACUGGGCGUAAAGGGUGCGUAGGCGGUCUUUCAAGUCAGGAGUGAAAGGCUACGGCUCAACCGUAGUAAGCUCUUGAAACUGGGAGACUUGAGUGCAGGAGAGGAGAGUGGAAUUCCUAGUGUAGCGGUGAAAUGCGUAGAUAUUAGGAGGAACACCAGUUGCGAAGGCGGCUCUCUGGACUGUAACUGACGCUGAGGCACGAAAGCGUGGGGAGCAAACAGGAUUAGAUACCCUGGUAGUCCACGCUGUAAACGAUGAGUAC
rnacentral:rRNA from 1 species